UACGGAGGGGGCAAGCGUUAUCCGGAUUCACUGGGUUUAAAGGGUGCGUAGGUGGGUUGGUAAGUCCGUGGUGAAAUCACCGAGCUUAACUCGGAAACUGCCGUGGAUACUAUCAAUCUUGAAUACUGUGGAGGUAAGCGGAAUAUGUCAUGUAGCGGUGAAAUGCUUAGAUAUGACAUAGAACACCGAUAGCGGAGGCAGCUUGCUACACAGUCAUUGACACUGAGGCACGAAAGCGUGGGGAUCAAACAGG
rnacentral:rRNA from 1 species